rnacentral:rRNA from 1 species
GUAACAAGGUUUCCGUAGGUGAACCUGCGGAAGGAUCAUUACCGAGUGCUGGGUCCUCCGGGGCCCGACCUCCCACCCUGUGCGUACUUGUCCACGUUGCUUCGGCGGGGAAAUCUCUGUCCGAGGAGGCAAUCCUCCCAAGGACCGCGCUUCCCCGCCGGAGAUCAUCUAAACUCUGAACUGUAUCGUGCCGUCUGAGUAUGAUUAUCAAUCAAAAUAAAACUUUCAACAACGGAUCUCUUGGUUCUGGCAUCGAUGAAGAACGCAGCGAAAUGCGAUAAGUAAUGUGAAUUGCAGAAUUCAGUGAAUCAUCGAAUCUUUGAACGCACAUUGCGCCCUCUGGUAUUCCGGGGGGCAUGCCUGUUCGAGCGUCAUUAACACCCCUCAAGCGCGGCUUGCAGUUGGGCCCCGGUCCCGGGGAAGAUCCCCGGGACCCGCCUCAAAAUCGGUGACGGUCGUGUUCGAUCUCAAGCGCAGUAAGAUUUUCCAAAUCGUCGCUUCCGGGUCGGGCCCGCGCCGGUCAGCAACCCCUCAUCUUUCAAAGGUUGACCUCGGAUCAGGUAGGGAUACCCGCUGAACUUAAGCAUAUCAAUAAGCGGAGGA